AAACAACUUUUCAACAGUUGAAUGAAUACUACAAUAUAUAUUUGGAAAACCCACAGAACACUGUGGCUCCUGCUGAUGGAGCGUUGGCUGCCAGACUCACAGAAGGAAGCCGGGGUGCUUAUUACAACCAUCAUCAACAGGCCAGCUGUUGGAGAAAUUUGGUGACCUAAAUGAAGCUAAGUACCCAAUGAACAUAGUUACUGGAAUAACAUCAUUCAUCAAAAUACAACCAGCAAAGCCAUCACGUGAGGAGAAGCGACAAACAGGACUGCAAAAGAAGAGGGAUCGAGAGGAUGAGACGAUAAAAGAAGAAAGAAGAAUUAUUAAAAUUGAAAGCAGAGGAGCUGAAAAGACGCAACGAGGAAAGGAUGAGGCGGGUACAGGAAGCUCGUGAAGAAAGAGAGCGUAAGGCUAUAGAAGCAAAGGAAUAACAAGACAGAGA